AGAUGCUGACAAUAUUAUUUCAAGAAGGGGUGAAUCAUUUUUUGAGUCACAAAUUUUUUAAAUGUCUUGUCAUUUUCUUACUUCAUAUUCUUUUUUAUUGUAUUGCAUGGUGCUGUUUGUUUUUGUGGCAAUGAUAAUAUGAAAAGACAUGUUUGAACAUAGAUCAUGUCUUCUAAGCAUCGGAUCCAUCAUGUGACAUCUAUAUUAUAGGAAUGAUUUUUCUGCUUGUGCUAUGUUUCGCUGUGUCUCUGAGUCUGGACAUAUGAUAUUCUCCUACUAUAUAAUUCAAUCCUGUUUAAUGGGUGUUUGAUUAAUUUCUGACUCUAGCUUU
rnacentral:misc_RNA from 1 species